AAUCCAGUGAGAUAGAAGGACAAAUAUUAGGGAUUCGUUUAACAGUUUAUCCAAGAUCGAUAAUACUUCAUAAUAAACAAUUUUGAAGCAGAACUCAAAAAUAACGAUCAAAACAUGGAUCCAAUCAAAGAUAGUAGCCGAAAUAAACAUCUUGGACAAAAAGAAAAAUUUUCAUUUUUCGAUUAAUAGUGUCGUAUUUGUGAAUAGUGCCGUAUACGUGAAUAGUAACCCCGACACAAAAAGAUAGAAAUUUCACAAAAAAUAUCUUCACGCUUCGUGAGUAGUAACUCGUGAAUAGUAACUCAUGAAUAGUAACUCGUGAAUAGUAACUCAUGAAUAGUAACUCGUGAAUAGUAACUCAUGAAUAGUAAC
rnacentral:lncRNA from 1 species